ACCUGUUGUGGAUUGGAGGACUUCCCGUCAAUCUGGGAACCCAGAUUUUUCCAGAUUUUGCGGGGAAAUCUGGGCUCGAUCUUCCCAGAUUUCCCUGCAAAAUCUGGGAAAAUCUGGGUUUCCAGAUCGGCGGGAAGUCCUCCAUU
rnacentral:SRP_RNA from 1 species